rnacentral:rRNA from 1 species
GACAGAGGGUGCAAACGUUGUUCGGAAUUACUGGGCGUAAAGCGCGUGUAGGCGGCCCUGCAAGUCGGAUGUGAAAUCCCACGGCUCAACCGUGGAAGUGCAUUCGAAACUGCAGGGCUAGAGUCCUGGAGAGAAAGGUGGAAUGCUUGGUGUAGAGGUGAAAUUCGUAGAUAUCAAGCGGAACACCGGUGGCGAAGGCGGCCUUCUGGACAGUGACUGACGCUGAGACGCGAAAGCGUGGGGAGCAAACAGG